rnacentral:rRNA from 1 species
CGAACGCUAGCGGCGCGCUUAACACAUGCAAGUCGAACGCCAACGAUCCGCUUCGGUGGGUCUAGUAGCGUGGCGGACGGGUGAGUAACGCGUAGGCAACCUACCCUUGAGUGGGGAAUAAGCCCGGGAAACUGGGUACAAUACCGCAUGUUAUUCCGAUUACGCAUGUAAUUGGAAUCAAAGCCUUCGGGCGCUCAGGGAUGGGCCUGCGUCCUAUUAGCUUGUUGGUAAGGUAACGGCUUACCAAGGCUACGAUGGGUAGUUGGUCUGAGAGGAUGAUCAGCCACACUGGGACUGAGAUACGGCCCAGACUCCUACGGGAGGCAGCAGUGAGGAAUAUUGCGCAAUGGGCGAAAGCCUGACGCAGCGACGCCGCGUGUGCGAUGAAGCCUUUCGGGGUGUAAAGCACUGUCCAGAGGGAAGAAUGCCCGUUUCGGCGGGAGCGACGGUACCUCUGUAGAAAGCUCCGGCUAACUCC